CCCUUAGAUGUCCUGGGCCGCACGCGCGUUACACUGAUGCAUUCAACGAGCUUAUAACCUUGGCCGAGAGGCCUGGGUAAUCUUGUUAACGUGCAUCGUGAUAGGGAUAGAUUAUUGAAAUUAUUAAUCUUGAACGAGGAAUUCCUAGUAAACGCAGAUCAUCAAUCUGCAUUGAUUACGUCCCUGCCCUUUGUACACACCGCCCGUCGCACCUACCGAUUGGAUGGUCCGGUGAAGCCUCGGGAUUGUGGUUCUUGCCGCUUUAUUGUGGCGUGACCGCGAGAACUUGUCUAAACCUUAUCAUCUAGAGGAAGGUGAAGUCGUAACA
rnacentral:rRNA from 1 species